UAGGGAAUCUUCCGCAAUGGGCGAAAGCCUGACGGAGCAACGCCGCGUGAGUGAUGAAGGUCUUCGGAUCGUAAAACUCUGUUAUUAGGGAAGAACAAAUGUGUAAGUAACUAUGCACGUCUUGACGGUACCUAAUCAGAAAGCCACGGCUAACUACGUGCCAGCAGCUGCGGUAAUACGUAGGUGGCAAGCGUUAUCCGGAAUUAUUGGGCGUAAAGCGCGCGUAGGUGGUUUUUUAAGUCUGAUGUGAAAGCCCACGGCUCAACCGUGGAGGGUCAUUGGAAACUGGAAGACUUGAGUGCAGAAGGGGGAAGUGGAAUUCCAUGUGUAGCGGUGAAAUGCGCAGAGAUAUGGAGGAACACCAGUGGCGAAGGCGACUUUCUGGUCUGUAACUGACGCUGAUGUGCGAAAGCGGGGGGAUCAAACAGG
rnacentral:rRNA from 1 species